UGGCGGACGGGUGAGUAACACGUGAGAAUUUGCCUUUAGGAGGGGGAUAACAGAGUGAAAACGCUGCUAAUACCCCAUAUGCUUUCGAGUGAAAUGGAUUUAUUCGCCUAAAGAGAAGCUCGCGGCUGAUUAGCUUGUUGGUAAGGUAAUGGCUUACCAAGGCGACGAUCAGUAUCUGGUUUGAGAGGACGAUCAGACACACCGGAACUGAGACACGGUCCAGACUCCUACGGGAGGCAGCAGUGGGGAAUUUUCCGCAAUGGGCGAAAGCCUGACGGAGCAAUACCGCGUGAGGGAUGACUGCCUAUGGGUUGUAAACCUCUUUUCUCAGGGAGGAAAUCAAUGACGUUACCUGAGGAAUAAGCAUCGGCUAACUCCGUGCCAGCAGCCGCGGUAAGACGGAGGAUGCAAGUGUUAUCCGGAAUCACUGGGCGUAAAGCGUCUGUAGGUGGCUUAACAAGUCAACUGUUAAAUCUUGAAGCUCAACUUCGAAAUCGCAGUCGAAACUGUUAGGCUAGAGUAUAGUA
rnacentral:rRNA from 1 species